CAUCAGUCAAAACAGUCAGCAGCAAGAUGGCGGAGGCCACGGGUAAAAGAAAAGAUAGCUUUUCAUACAAAAGGUGACUCAAUAACCGUUCAGUCGUGGAUUUAUCUUUAUGAAAUUAUUGUGCAAAGUCUCCGAAAAGUCACAGAAGUCCCACGCCGGAUUACUAAACUUCUGGAAGGGCUACGAUUGCACUGAAGUCUUCUGCCAAGCUGUUAGCUGUCAGGCUAAAAACACAGACCAAGGCUAGGUUGAUUCAUAAUUAUUUAUUUUACAAAGACAACGUAAUGCUAUUCCAUGAUAGAUGAAAAAGCUUCUGGAUGGCCUACAAUGGCAUUGAGGACUUCGUUAAAACGGUGCACUCUCCCUCUUCUAAACCAAAAAGCGGAGCGUCUCCUGUCCUGCUUAAGUGGAAAAGUGGAUGUCCUUCUCUUCAACCCUCCCUAUGUGAUCACACCUUCAGAAGAGGUGGUGAGGCUCUGUACAGCAACUUCUUCAGUUCGGAUAUGAGGAGCAUUUGAUCAAGUGGUGCUUUUCUUUCAGGUGGCCAGCGCGGGUGUAGAGUCUGCCUGGGCCGAGGGCGAGAGGUGAGCGACAGGUUUCUGUCUGUGGGAGCACAGUUGCUCUCCACCAAAGGGUUAUUCUACCUCAUAACUAUAUAGGGGACAACGAUCCAGCAGAGGAGAUUAUCCGUGUACUGGGUAAAUGUGGUUGAGGGGAGAGUCAUGCUUGUCGACCAGAGCUGGACAUGAGAGGCUGUCCGUCCUGCGCUUCCAUAGGAGCUAACAAACAUGGAACUGUCACUUAGAAAUCUGCUGAAAGGAUUACAUGAGCUGAUGAGAAUAAAUAUUUUUAGGAUAUCAUUUUUGACUGAUAUUGUCUCCAAGGACAAAGGUUUACUGCAGAGGAAAACAGAAAGAAUCCUCAGAGAACCGGUGCAAAGAACUUUCUAAAUAAAGCUCUGCAGAACAAA